CUGAGCUAUAGUGAAAAAGCACUGAACUUGGGCUCAGGAGAUUGGCUUACAGUCUCACUCCUGCUGCUUGUCAUUUGGAUAGACACAAUUUCUUCGAGACUCAAUUUUCUCUCCUGUGAAAUGGUGAUGAUUCUACCUGCUCUGCCCUCUUUCUAUAUUGGCUGUGAAGAUCAAAGGAUUUUGUUGAAAGCUCUUCGUGACUGUUCCUGUUGCUCCACAUCUUGAGCAAGAACUCUGUUGUUUGACACUUUAACUGUUGCCAUUUUGACAGAAUGGGACUUUAGCAACUUGAUACAAACAAAGACUUGUGAAGAGCUUGCCCAUUGGACCUUAUUCUUGCUGCUUUUGGAACCCUGUAACUGACACCAUGUAAACAAGCUGGGGCUGCUUGCUGAACAGGAGAGAGAUCCCCAAAGCAGAGCCACCUCACUGACUGGCAGCUGAUUGCCAAGGCCUGAAUUAUCAGAGCUGAAAGCAGCUGGAGAACUGCUGAGAGGAUCCCGGCCUGACUUGCCCGCUCAUAAGAAUGGUGUGCUAGGUGAAUGAGUAUUGCUUUAAGCCACUAUUCUUUUUAGCUUUUUGACUUCCAAAGCUGCUGUAAAGUCAGGUGCACCCUUCACUCAGCUUUCUCUAAUGGUGACAUCUUACAAGCUGGAAAACAAUAUCAAAAACAGGAAAUCAAUAUAG